UCCGCGGUAGCCCAAUUGUUUGAGGCGUAGGCAGUACAGAUGCCGACAGUCGCAGGUUCAAUUCCUGCCUGCGGUG